GGGUCAGUAGGUUGGUCGUGCCACCGGUACGUACUGGUCUCACUGAUUCCUCCUUCUUGAAGAACCGUAAUGCCAUUAAUUUGGUGUUGCGGGGAAACAGGACUGUUACUUUGAAAAAAUUAGAGUGUUUAAAGCAAGCUAACGCUUGAAUACAUUAGCAUGGAAUAAUGAGAUAGGACGAUCGAUCCUAUUUUGUUGGUUUCUAGGAUUGACGUAGUGAUUAUAGGGAUAGUUGGG
rnacentral:rRNA from 1 species